CGAAGGGCUAGGCGGAGGAAGCGCGCCCGCCGGGCCCGUCCAGCGACACUGACCUGUCGUCGCCCCCGCGCCUGGGAUGCGGCCUCUCGGGUCGUAGUCACCCUCGCCCGCGCCUCCGCCCACCACCGCCCCGUUCCCGGUCGCUGCCGCCACCGCCGGGGCUCAUGCGGGACCCGCGCCGCCUUCUCCGGAAGCCGGGCCGGGACACGGCGCGCCUGGGCCGCCGAGAACCCGACGCUCGUCGCCAGCCGCCGCUGUCGGUGCGCGCCGAGGGGUUGCGGAGCCGCCUGGCAGGGGCUGCAGGCCGCGAGCGACGCCGAGGAGGCGCUGAGGGUCGGCGGAGGCGAAGCUAAGCGGGCAGCGGGCGGCUGCGCAGCGGCGGGGCGCACGAGCGAGGGCUGGGUGGUGCGUCGCGGUCUAGGCGGAGAGGGAGCGGGCCCUGUCGUCUCCCAGAGUCACCCCGAUCCCAGCGCCACCAUCUUGGGAGGAACACUGAUCUCGCGACCGCGGCGCCAAACGGGAGGACGGGCUGGGCGGGCCGAGUAUCCCGGCAGGCAGCGCGCGCCGCCCGGCCGGGCGAGGGCUUCAAGCCGAGACGCGAGGAGUCGGGGCCGGACGGAACGCACGCGGAGGGCGCCGCGCUCGGCCCCACCCCCGGCCAGCUCGCCCCCCUCCGGCUUCCCGUCGCCCCCGGCGCAGGGGCGGCUGGGAAGGGGAGAUGAGGGCUCGCGGCUCGGCCGAACCCACCGGGGCCGGCCGCCAUCUUAGGACUGGGCAAAGGGGUUAACACUCACCUCACUCUGUGCUGUCGGUGGCCGAGCAGAAAGAACCAGAACUCUGCCAGGCCUUGAGAAGCAAUAAAAGAUCGACAAUCUCUAUCCCUGCUCUCAAGAAAUCAGUUCAAAAGGAAGUAAAAGACAAAGGCCAGGGCCAGCUGAUGAUCUUGUCACAGUGCCUCAGCCAGAGCUCAGUGAACGGCUGCCAAAAAAGACUUCUGAAUGGCCAACAAGUACAUGAAAAAGUGCUCCAUGCCCUGAGUCAUUGGAGAAGCGAAAAGCAAAACCGCAAGGAAAUAUUAUCCCACCCCAGUGACAGUGGCUGUUAUCAGAAAACCAAGACAUAGCAAAUGCUGGCAAGGAUAUGGAGAACAGGGAAGACUUGAACACUGUUUUGGGGAAUGUAAAUCAGUACAGCUAUUAUGAAGAUCAGGAGGGAGGUGCCUCAAAAAAUUAAAAAUAGAAUCACCACAAUGGGCAAACAUCCAAAGCAAAUGAUGCCAGUCUAUCAGAGACACCACAGCCCCAUGUUUACUACCCCAAUAUUCACAGCAGCCAAAAUAUGGAACCAACCAAGGUGUCUGAAUGGAUAAAGAAAAUGUGGGACAUAUGCAAUGAGAUAUUAUUCAGCCAUAAAAAGAAUGAAAACCUUUUGCACCAGAACGGCCAGGACUGGAGGGCAUGGUGUUCAAUGAAGUAAACCAGGAUCAGAAAAACAAAUAGCACAUAUUCUCUCUCAUAUGAGGAAGCCUGAAAAGUUAUCUCCAAGAGAGCCAGGUAGUGAUUACUAGAGGCUGACAAGGGCAGAAGGUAAUGAGUAUAGAGGGUGGGUGGAUAAUAAAUACCAGUGCAGUGCAACAGGAAGAACAAGUUCUAAGGCUCCGCAGCAUAGCAGGGAGACCAUAGUUUACAAGAGCCUACUGCACAUUUUAUAAAGAACUAGAAGCCAGGAGUUUGAAAUGGCCCAAAGCAAAGAAUGAUAAGGAGAAGAAAAUGUUGAUAUCCUGAUUUUAUUAGCACACAUUGUGAAUAUAUAUAUAGAGAGAAUUAUCAUGCUGUACCCUAUAAAUGUACAUAAUUAUUAUGUAUAUAAAAAUGAAAAGGAAAAGGAGACUGCCCAGGAGACAGGGCUGGGUCUUAGACACACUGAGGAUAGACAAGCUUGGCUUUUCCAGCUGCUGAAGUCUUACUUAUCUGGUUUCCUCGUAGCUAUGCCAUUUGAGAGGCUCCUGGCCAGGGAUGGGCACCUCUGCCAGAGGAACUCCGUCCUGCUGUGACAGAGGAGUCUGUCCAGCGUGGAGAACCAGGAGCUCUCUGGGCUGUGUGUUGGAAGGUUCAGUCUUGCUGCUCGGGGACAGAAAUUGAGUGGGAAGGCAGCCUCCAGACAAGGAGCAUUGUAAGGCUACUAGUUAAACAAGGCCAAACAAAUGAUCGGCUCCUUUCUAGCAACACUUCUGAAAAAAAUUGAAGUAAUUCAAUGUGGCAUAGCAUGACAGCAUGAGAAUGAGAUGUCACCUUCCAUAUUUCGUGACUUGAUAAAAACCCAUUAACGGUACCUGUAAACUUGAAAAAGUGUUUUAAAAGUGUAGAAGUGUUGAUCCUUACUUUCCACAGCAGCUUUUAUCUCUUGGAAUGGAGAUGUUUUGUUUUCACUUGGGCCUGUCCACACCCUGAGAAAAUCCUAGCCAGUCCUAUGCCUGGACAAACUGGCUCUUCACCAGUUGCCUACUUUCAAGCCACUGUGCCCCCAAGGGUCCGAGGUGUGGCCCUGGAGCAGAGCACAGACAGCUGGAGAGCCGAGAAGCCCUCAGCCCUUGCAUCUGCCAGGUUCUGACUUUGUCCACUGCAGUGUUUCUGGUACCCAUGCCACGGACCUAGAGAGAGGAGGGCGGACACAGAUCGAGUCACACACUUAGAAGGACCUGGAAGAAUCGGGAUGGUAGGAAGUUCAGUGUGGCUACUUGAAGACAGGGCAGAGCCCAGAGGUGUGUUCGUGCUGUCCUGUCCAGCCUGGAGGAGAAUGGGCUCUUUACCCUCGGGCUUGGGCUCCUACUGAGGUGAGCUUCCUCCUGCUUCCACCCACACCGACAGAUGCGCCAUUUCCUGUCUUUCUCCUUCCUUCAUCAUCUUCUAGUCUCGAAGAGAAAGGGCCCUUCUGCUGGAGGCUGCUGUAUUCAGGGAAUCCCUCUACCGUAGUAACUCCCAGCCGUGUCCUAAAAUUCACCAAAGACUUCUUAAAAAUUAAAAACAAAACACAGAAGGCUUGGGCUUCAUCCCCAUGUUCUCAUGCUGGAUGUUGGCCGGGACUUUUCAUGUUAAAUCAGCCUGCGAGAUGAGCCGUGUGCAGGCGCUUUCUUUGAGAAAUGCUCCUUCUCCAUGGAGAGGGACUGUCCUCCUCAUCCCAUCUUACUUUUCCUGGCACAUUUCCAAGUUUGUGAAUAUGCUCAAACCUCCUCCAUGAAAAGAGAAUGUUCUCUCAACCACCUCUUCUCCUUCAUCCCCAAGAUUUCCUGAAGGAACAAACCUUCUUGUGUGUUUCUGCUCCUUUUCCUCUUCCAUUCUCUGCAACCCAGUGUCUGUCCCUACCACUCCACACUUGUUCUCAUUACCAGGAAGACAAAUGAAACCCACACACCAACCCACCACGGCCUCUGAGGAAGCCUGCGAAGCCCGCAGGACCCAGCUGCUUCCUGUCCGGUUCCCUGUUGCCGCUGCCUUACAGUCCCUGGUUUUCUUACACUUCCUUGAGCUGCAGAGCUCUCUCCAGCUGCCGAGCCUUCCCGUGCUGCUGUCUGGAGCCCUGCGCCCUCACCAGAUGUUACUUCCCGGUCUUGCGGCUUCAGUAUCCAUCUCGGAGAGGCCUUGCCGCUGCCCCGAGUGCUCUCCCUCUCAGAACCCCUUCUAUUUUCCUUCAGAGCACAUUUUCUAACUGAUGUGUUUACUUAUCCCUACUUCCCCUCACAAGACUGUGAAUUCCAAAGGCGGGUGGCUUUGUGUGUGCAGUUUAUCACUGCACCGAGCCCAGUUCUUGGAGCACAGUAUGUGCUUCACUGAUAGAGAAGGCGAAUCUGUGAAGCCACUUGUCGGUCACUCGUGAUUCUCACCUUCCGGAUUUGCACCCGAGUGCGCGGCUGAGCAGUGAGAAACAGCAGCAAGACUGCUUCAGCAAGGAGCCUGCGGCUGGGCGCGGCGUCUGCCCCGGUGUCCUCAGCCGGAGGCCCAGCACGUCGGCCGGUCCCGGCUGAUCUCCGUGCUCCAAGGCCUUGGGGAGCUUUGCUUUUGAACAAUUUCACUCUGAAGAAUAUCAACAGUCAACUUUUUUCCUCUGUAGAGGAAGACUGCUCCGCUGAUGUCACUGUGAUUACAGGGUAAUCGCAGUAAGUCUCUUGAGACCUUCCCUUUGUUGGUUUUUGCAGAGUGAAUGAAAUAAAAAGAGGACUAAAUCAUUCACUUCCUGUGCAGCACAGUGAGAUCGGGGUUCCCUUAGAAACGACCGUCUCAGGGCGUGGCCUCAGCACCUCGCGUGUACCUCCUGGUUCCUGCGUGUAAGGCCUGAAAUGUUCCCAACCAGACCGCAUGGCACUUUCCUUCUCGGGGCAUAAAUCUGCUGGGUAACAGUGUAUGCCGUGUAUACUGUUAGUGUUCCUAGUGGCUGCUGAAUGGCGUUGCGACUUAACCGGUACUUUGGAGCCCUGAAGACUCCCCCUCCCAAAGCUGCUACCUGCUCAGAGACCUGGAGCUUGCAUGCGCACACACGCCCAAAGUGGGACUUUCACAAACCCUCAGACCCCCUCAAGAUGUUUUCUUAGCAGGCUUUCUGCUAGAUGCCUGAGUUCAAAGAAUGAAGGCCCAGUGCUCACAGGACAAGCAGAGAAGGAUGUGCAAAGGUUCCCACUGUGGACAAUGGGAGCAGAAAUAGGAUUCACAGAGAAGAGAAGGUUUGGAGAGAAAGUGGCACAUUCUGACUUGGAUAUAAGGACUCACAUCUCCAAAGAGCUGUCUACAUGGUGAUGUCUGAUAAACAACCUGUGGACUGGGAGGACAAGCUGGAUGUGGUGGCACAUGCCUGUGAUCCCAGCACUCUGGAGGCUGAGGCAGGAGGAUCGCUGCAAGUUUGAUGCCAGACAGGGUUACAUAGUGAGUUCAAGGCCAGCCUGAACUACACAGCAAGACCCCGUCUCAAAAAAACCAAACCAAAACAAAAGAAAAACCACUGGGAAAAGACGUAAUUUGAUACAAACAGAAGGUGCAGAAGUGUCCCUGGAGCAUGUUUAAAGCCAGCCCUUUAGACAAUGCCCAAGAAAGUCCAGAAAGAAAUGAACCAAGUAUUGUAAUGUGCAAUGACGCUGAGGGCCAAAUUAUACUUAAUAUGAAUUUUGAGAAUCAAUGUAGCAAAAUUUCUCCAGAAAUUCUUGGACAAGAAAAUGAAAAAAGGGGUGGUCAGUGGAAAGAGCAGCAAUGGAGAUUCUGAAUUGAGGUGAAGACCUCCAUUCCCUUGGAAGCGGGCCUUCAGGGGCCAGUGAUGCUCCCUCCUCCCUCUCACCAUCUACCCCUUCUUUACAAGUGAGCAGACAGGGCUGUCAGCCUGAGUCAUUCUAGAGAAGCUCCUAUUCGUAUUCCUAUUCCUGGUGGUGGUUUCCCUGCUACGCCUCGGUCUCCUUGUCUUAUACCAGUGUCCACGCUGCAGAAGAGGGUGUUGCCUUAAUUAGGGGUAAGGAUUGAAUAAGCUGUACCAGCGAUGUCUGCCAAUGCUAACAAACCAGCAAUGUAUAGUGGUGAUAAUGCUCACAGUUCUACUCUGCUGGUGAUCCAAUCUUGUACCAUGUUCAUAUAUACCAAGCUACCGGUCUAACCUGUUUAGACUCCUGGAGAAUUUAAAUGGCCCAAGGUGAAAGUUCUGCCUUUUGGAAGUCCCAGGAGGGACUCCUGUUUAACAGAGAAGAUUGUAAUUAUCCUAAAGAUGUGGCUGCGUGCAAGGGUCUUUCCUCCUGAUGCUUCCUGAUGCCAGGAAACAAACCUGUGGCUUCUAAAAGACCUGUAGGAGAAGUUCUGCUGCUUGGUAGGGCACUGGCUUCAAAUCCCUAUUAUUCAACCCUCUUCCUCUUAUCUUGGCUUUCCCGUCUGCUCUUUCCUCUCUCUCUCUUGGCUUGCCAAGUUUGGGCUUAGUCAGUGCUGUGGUGUUAACACUGCAGCUCAUAAUGUGCCAGCUCACGCUGACUCAGAACCAGAGAGUCAGAUCAGUGCUGUACCCAGAAUGGAGACAAAGGCAGGGCAGAGACAGGAGGCAGGGAGCUUCCUGAGUGCCUGUCUUUGUUCAAGCGUCUUGCUGCUGCCUGAGGGGAGAGGGCAGGGAGAAUCUGAGCGGUGAUGGGCUCCCAGGAGGAAAAUGCUGUGUUAAUAAAGAGGGAAGACUGCAAGUUUUACUCUGUGUGUUCAUUUGUAUGUAUGUAUUUUAAAAUGCCAAUCAUAGAAAUUAUUUUUAACUGAAUAUGUUAUCUGUAUUGUUAUCUAUAUUAUCUACACUGACAUGAAAUUACAAGAACUAAUAUGAAGAGCGCCCACAUAUGCUUUCCAGGUUUCCUCCAAUUGCAGGAUUUUGCAAACUUAGAGUAUAAUAUCACAACUGAGAUGUUAUACAUUUCAGAUUUCUCCAGGGUUGCUUGCACUUGUGUGUGUGUUUAGUUCUACAAAAACUAUUACGUAUGUAGAACUGGCUUUCCACCACUACAGUCAAAAUACCAAGUACCUCAUCAUUACUACAAUCCCGUGAUCCUGUGUUGGCUAAUUCCAACCACAUCCACCUCCUCUGUUCCAUUUUUCAUUCAAUCCCAACCCCGACCUCAUGGCAACUACUGUUCUUAGAUUUCAAAAAUGUUAUGUAAGUGCAAUCAUACAGUAUAUAACUUUUGUGAUUUUUUUUCACUCAGAGUAAUGUUCUUGAUUUCCAUUCAGGUCAUUGUAUGGGUCAAGAAUUCAGUCCUCUUAACUGCUGAUUAGUAUUCCAUGGUGUGGAUCACUCAGUGGAUAAAUCACCCUUCUGACCUACUACCUAUAUUGUUAAAUCUGAAGUCACUUUCUUCUAGAUAAGCAUAGAAAGGGCUAUGCUACUUUUAUUCACUCUGCCAAGCUCUUUUAUUAUUACCUUACACAAUUUUUAUUGAUGAUAAAUAUUUAUAUGUUGCUAUUUACAUUUAGCUUUUAAUUAUUUUUGUUUUCUGUUUGUUUUCUGGGUUCUUGCUCCUUUGUUUAGUUUCUUGCUUAC
ensembl:lncRNA